rnacentral:lncRNA from 1 species
GCUUUGAGUUGAUGGUGCAAAUAUUUUCUUAACAGUCAAUGAAGGAUAAAAAAGAUAGAGAAAGUACAUUGCAACAAUAUUUAUUAUGCAUGAAGGGAGACUUUUCUGUUCAUUCUACGUACCAAGGAUUAACACGAUUAUACAUCUUAUAUAUAAGGAGGUUGGUCCACUUUAUUUUAUUGCGAUAAAUGUCGAGUAAGAUAGGAUAUGG